UUCCACUGUCCUUAUUCCCCUGAAUCAUGUAAGGCAGAAGACAUAGAAACCUCAAGAUUGAAGUUGAGCCUAAGAAGAAGAGGUGGACAGGAGAAGUAGCAACAUCACUGUGUGUUUUUGAAGCCCAUAGCUUCAUCAGCAUCUUCAUCACAGGCCUUUCUCCAAAUUCUCCAAACCCAGCAUACAGCUGUCCUUGGAAAUGCUCUUCAGAAAGACUCUCAGCAUCACUACUACUAUAGAAGCUUCUCCAUCUCUACAAAGUGCUCCAACAAUUACAGUCCAGUAGAAAGGUUUUUUGUUGUUGUUGGUUGGUUGGUUGGUUGUUUUUGUUUUUUGUCGUGGCUGGUAAAACACUAAUUUUUGUACUGACAAAUAAUUAAGGGUCUCAAAACCUGCACUGGUUUGUCUUGAAAAAACUUGCUUUUUUUUUGUUUUAGCUAUAAUAAGUAUUGCCCAGCAGUUAAGUGACUACUGCCUAUCCUGUUUUAGCACAGUUCUAGAAAUGCAAAGGUAAAGGGCUAACAAAGCUAAGUAAUCACUUCAAAAAACAGCAGCCUUUAAUGUUAAAUGGAGAUGAGGCAACUACUGUGCAACUUUUAAAAUUCAGUUGGGGUCAAUGGAUA
rnacentral:lncRNA from 1 species